CAAAGAGGCUCACUGUGAUCAACCAACAACUGCCCACAUUUGCAGUCAGCACAUUCCACUUAUAUAUUAUCUGAAAUGUUCACUUGUGUCAUCAUCAAUAUACAUGAAUAGUUGUCAUUACAACCCCCAAACCCUCACAACAAUAAUAAAUAAGAAAACAAUUGAUUUGAUUGGUCCAUGAGGUAAAACGUAAAAUAAAGCGGGGGAAGGAAGCAAGCUAAAGCUGAAAAGAUUUCUUUUUAGAAAAGACAAACAUCUACAAAACCAAAAGUGUGGGAGAGGCUGAAAAAAAGAUUGUGAUUGCAGACAAGAAAGCAUGAUGUCCAACAAGGUGUCAUUAUCUUCCACCAGAAAGAAACACACAUGCAUACUGACUUAGACACACAGACACACAGACACACCC